GCUCCGUUGGUGAUCCAGCGGAGGGAUCAUUACUGGAAUCGCAAGAUCCCACAACCCUGUGAACCUACCGAAACGUUGCCUCGGCGGGUGCCCGGCCCCCGCGCCGGGCGCUGCGCCCGCCGGCGGCCCCCUACUCUGUCUCUGCAGCGUGGCAUCUCAGAGUCCCAGAAAACAAGUCAAAACUUUCAACAACGGAUCUCUUGGCUCUA
rnacentral:misc_RNA from 1 species